rnacentral:tRNA from 1 species
UGGGGUGUAGCCCAGCAGUAGAGCACUUAACUGGUAUGCAAGGUCCUGGGUUCAUUCCCAGCACCACAA